rnacentral:misc_RNA from 1 species
GUUGGGAACAAGUUGCAAUAAAUUUAGGUCCACAUAUCCAGGCUAAGUCAGAGGAUAUAAUAAAUCUUAGUUACCAAGAUUUACCAUUUCAUUUGAAACCUUGCUUUUUGUAUUUUGGAGUACUUUCGGAAGAUGAAGAGAUAAAGGUAUCAAAGUUAACAUGGUUGUGGACAGCAGAAGGUUUGGUAAGAACUCAUACAGAGAAGCUUUCCGAAGAUAUAGCAGAAAAUUACUUAAAGAACCUUAUAGGAAGAAACCUUGUGAUGGUUUCCAAGAAAAGUUCCGAUGGUAAGACCAAGACAUGUCGCAUUCAUGACUUGUUGCUUGAGUUUUGUAAAAAGAAAGCCAAGGUGGAGAACUUUCUACAAUGCAUAGACGGGGACAAUGCUAAUAUGAAUCUUUCUUCUACUUCCUAUCAGAAGCAUAGCAUUCAACGACGCGUAUGCCUUCAAUUUCAAGUUGAUAAUCUUGCAGAAUGGAGUUCGAUUUAUUCAGAAGUACAAUCUUUCCACUUGAUGAAGGGAAGAAAAAUUGGAUUAUCUUCAAUACGCUAUGCAUCACACACUUUUAACAGUUUCAAGUUCCUGUGGGUGCUAGAUUUAGAAUUUACUGUAAUUGAUUCUUUCCCAGAAGCUUUAACCUGCUUGAGAUAUGUUGCUGUUAAAGUUGCUGAAGAUUCUUCAUUGACAUUCUCGGACAAUCUUUGGAACCUUGAAACUUUAAUAAUUAAAGGACUUGGAGGACGAGUAACUUUACCAGACACCAUUUGGAAG